rnacentral:lncRNA from 1 species
UGGGUGUGAAGAAAUACUAAUUUCAAAUACAAAAGUGGAAAAAACUCCUAUAAGGUUUAACCAAAACGCUUCGACUUAAAGGGUCACUAGCUGUCAAAUUCAUGACCACCGAUUUGACUCAAAUUCUCAUAUUUGAUUUAUAACAAUGUAAAACAUUAAUCCAAACUAUCAAAAGUCUAAAAUAACUAGCUUACAGAGCAUGUGGUAGAUAAUAUAUAGGUUCGUGUCAUGUGUAUUUUACUUCAGACGCCAUCUAAUUAACUAUCGGUUUGACCUCAGAUGACCAUAUACGCGAUGUAAAAACAUAUAAAGAUAUGAAUAGAUUAAACCAACACGUGCAAUUGGAUUUUUAUAGGUCUGUUUGAUUUGAUUUUAAAGAUUAAAAAAUUGAUGUUUCCCAUUGUGUUUAACCGUGUAAGAAUGAUUUUAUGAGCAUCGAAUUAGUAAUCAAAUGAUUUACCGUAGUUUCACUUUCAUUGUUGACAUUCUUUUUCUUUAAAUAACCAGAACACGUACAAUACAUGCGUUGUCAAUCUCUAGCUAGGGGUUAAAUUGAAGUUCAC